rnacentral:rRNA from 1 species
UGGGGAAUAUUGCACAAUGGGCGCAAGCCUGAUGCAGCCAUGCCGCGUGUAUGAAGAAGGCCUUCGGGUUGUAAAGUACUUUCAGCGGGGAGGAAGGGAGUAAAGUUAAUACCUUUACUCAUUGACGUUACCCGCAGAAGAAGCACCGGCUAACUCCGGGCCAGCAGCCGCGGUAAUACGGAGGGUGCAAGCAUUAAUCGGAAUUACUGGGCGUAAAGCGCACGCAGGCGGUUUGUUAAGUCAGAUGUGAAAUCCCCGGGCUCAACCUGGGAACUGCAUCUGAUACUGGCAAGCUUGAGUCUCGUAGAGGGGGGUAGAAUUCCAGGUGUAGCGGUGAAAUGCGUAGAGAUCUGGAGGAAUACCGGUGGCGAAGGCGGCCCCCUGGACGAAGACUGACGCUCAGGUGCGAAAGCGUGGGGAGCAAACAGG